ACUGCCACACCCCCUGUCCCUUCCACGCGCCCGCCCGCCCGCUCUGUACCCCGCCUCUAAUUAAACGCCUCGCCUCAGCGCGAGGAGAGAAACGACGCUCCCGCGGGUUCGGAGUCGCUCGUGCCGGCGUCGGCGCGUGCCCCUCCCCAGAGCCGACCAAUCACGCGCCGGCGCAGAAGUGGGGCAGGGCGCGCGGGGUCGCGAGGUGCGCUCCCGCCGCGGGGACGUCCCCCUUGUUUUUCGCGCCGAAACGCCGCGUUGCGUGAAGGUCGUCGCCGGCCGCGUCCUUCCUCCAUCUGCCCCGCGCGCUGGAAAGGGAGUGGCGCGCGCAGGAUUCUCCGCGAUUUAAUUUGCCGCUUCGCGCCUCGGCGAGUCAUCCCGCGAGGCGGCCGGGCGCGCGCGCGUCCCGCCGUCCUUCGAGCGCGGACACAAGUAGGCCGCGCGCCUGCAUCGAGUCCUGGGAGCGCGUGUCGUGCGCGUCACCGGAAGUUGUGGAGCUGUUUGUCAAAUGAAGAGGCGUCUGUCCUGCCAGGGUCCCGUCCCAGAAGACUAAGAGAUGCCAGACUGCUUCUUGCCAAGGGGCCACGAACCCAGCGCCAGUCCUGCCCGCCAGGCUAUUAA
rnacentral:lncRNA from 1 species